AAGAAAGCUUGCUUUCUUUUGCUGGCGACCGGCGCACGGGUGAGUAACACGUAUCCAACCUACCCUUUACUCGGGGAUAGCCUUUCGAAAGAAAGAUUAAUACCCGAUAGCAUAAUGAUUCCGCAUGGUUUCAUUAUUAAAGGAUUCCGGUAAAGGAUGGGGAUGCGUUCCAUUAGGUUGUUGGUGGGGUAACGGCCCACCAAGCCUUCGAUGGAUAGGGGUUCUGAGAGGAAGGUCCCCCACAUUGGAACUGAGACACGGUCCAAACUCCUACGGGAGGCAGCAUG
rnacentral:rRNA from 1 species